UAUUUUUUAGGACCCAGCCAAUUCAGAAAAUUUUGAGGUACUUCCAGAAACUGAACAUGAGCAAUACACAGAUUCAGCAGAGAUUGAAGAUGUGGAUGAAUAUCCAGAAGCUGAACCAGAGGAAAGCAAUAAUUAUUUUGACCAUGAGAGGACUAACAGUUCAGAUGAGGAAUCUGAGGAAGUGGAUGACCCACAAAAUGCUGAGUGGAGCAGUGAUGUAAAUUCUCAGACUGCACCUAAGGAUCCCUUGCACUUGGAUGAUGGAGAUGAACCUAUAUAUCCAGGAAGUGAUGUCACAAAGGCAGAGACUAUUUUAAUGAUUCUCACAUUUGUCCUGCGUCAUAAAAUAAGUGGAGAGGGUCUGAAAGAUUUCCUGUCACUACUGCACAUCUUGUUUCCAAGUAUUCUGCCAGCCACAAAAUACCUAUUUAUAAGUACU